CUUACGGGAGGCUGCAGUAGGGAAUAUUGCACAAUGGAGGAAACUCUGAUGCAGCGACGCCGCGUGAGUGACGAAGGCCUUCGGGUUGUAAAGCUCUGUUCUCAGGGAAAAAGAAAGUGAUUGUACCUGAGGAGAAAGGACCGGCUAACUUCGUGCCAGCAGCCGCGGUAAGACGAGGGGUCCAAGCGUUGUUCGGAAUCAUUGGGCGUAAAGCGGGUGUAGGUGGCUCUAUAAGUCAGGAGUGAAAGCCCUAAGCUUAACGUAGGAAGUGCUUUUGAUACUGUAGAGCUUGAAUGUGGGAGAGGAUCGUAGAAUUCCUGGUGUAGGGGUGAAAUACGUAGAUAUCAGGAGGAAUACCGGAGGCGAAGGCGGCGAUCUGGCCCAACAUUGACACUGAGACCCGAAAGCGUGGGGAUCAAACAGGAUUAGAUACCCGAGUAGUC
rnacentral:rRNA from 1 species